UAGGUAGUUUCAGUGGCAAUGAUAAUGAGGAUAGGUGGCAGGUGGUGAUGGUACAGUUGGUUUGUUUCUUGGUUGUCUCGAUGAGAGACACAAAGAAUGGCAUGAAGCUUUUGAUAUACACAACUUUGCUAUGUAAUCUUUAAAAAUUCUUAUUUCCAAAUUAUAAUAAAAAUAUAUGUUUUAUACGUGGAUAAUAACUUGAUCAUAAAAUAAGAAAACAUGAUGUACAACAAAAAAAUAAGCAAACAUAGAAAAAAUAUAACAGUAACAAACUUUUAUAUUGUGUAUCUAAUUUAGAUGUUUACUCUAUUACAUUGAGUCAUUUAUUUCUUCUUUCACAAUAUCUAAAUAAAAAAAAGAAGUAUAAAAAAAAAAAUCAAAGUACCAAUUUAUUCAAAAGUAAAUGUAUAAGAGUACAAAAAUCAAUUAUGAUUUGUGUAAAUUAAAAGAAUAUACAUGACCGUUUGCAAUUUUGGUGUGUAUAAUUAUUUGAUUGAUGACAUAUUAUUUGAUUGUUUUGGGCUGGAAUAUAAACCUAACAUAUUGUUAUGUUCCAUUUAGUUAUGUAACUCUAUAUGAUUUACUAUGAAGAAACAGAAAAUGAGAUAUUUGAUUAGAUAGGAAUUAUAUACUUUCAUUCAAUACCUCCGCCGCUGAAAAGAUUAAUUGAUUUUUUUUAUUUACAGGUUAUUAAUGGUUACUCUACAUUUAAUUUAUUUGGUUAAAUUACGUUUGGUUCACUCUAACUCAUUCGAAGCAAAUUAUUUGAUAUAAUAGGGUAUGAAACUAAAGCAAAAUUCUGCUAGAAAUAUAAUAUUUUAUUAAUUUAUAACACUAUUUAUAAAAGUAUUUUCAAAUAGCAUGAACAACAUUUCCAACAAAUAAUUAAUUAUAAAAAAUUCAACAAAUGCCAAAAUAAUUUACAAAACAUAAUUAGUAAAACACUAAAAAUUAAAGAAAAUUUCAUUUUAAAUCGAAUAUCUUAUAUAAACAGAAAACAUAUAUUACAAAACAUCAUUUGUUGUUACACAAUAUAUACUAAUUAUUAUUGAUGAUAUUAUUGAAACUUUACUUUAAAAUAUAAUUAUUUAUAAUUUUAUCACAUUACAUCUGAUUUUCAAUUGAUUUAGCUUGAAGAUGAGUGUUUUAUUAUCGUAAAAAAUUAGUUAUUGUAAUAAUAUAAAAAUCUGAUAUUCUUAGAAAUAAAAAAAUAUUAGUUAUUCUUACUUUAGAUUUUCUUCAACUAUAUCAAAUAGCAGUAGAAAUACAAUAGAAAAAAUAAAAGUCAUUAUGUUUUUCUUAGUUUUUCAUUUAAUAAUUUUGUAUCUAACAAAAAAAAUUGAGCGGUCUUUUCAACUCAAACCAACCAAAUUUAAUAAAAUUUACAGUUUUUGAAUAAAAACAUAUUGUAUUUAUUAUAAACUAAACUUUCAAUAUUUUAUAAAAUUAAAAUAUACUUUAGUAGAAAAUAGUUUUAGUGUAUUUUAGUAUAAAAUAGUUAUAGUGUAAAUUUACCCGUCCGUAGGGCGGGCCAAACCCCUAGUAUAUAUAAAGUACAUUUAUCUCAUUCCAGGACGCGCCACCUCAGCAUCCACGUCAGAAAGUCGGAGGUUGUCGUCCCGACACGUGUCAAAGAAACUCGCCGUUUUUAAUCAGUUGCGUGAUGGGCCUAAAUCUUUUAACGUAUUGUGUGUUUGGGCUUCGAAUUUGUUAAAGCUAGCCCAUUUUGCGUGAAGCCGUAAUGUUAUUGAUCAAACCGUCAAAGACCCUCUUCGUCUUCAACUAUUUCCAUCUCGCUGUCUAGGGUUCUUCGUGCUCUUCACCUUCAGUUUUCCGACCACGAAGUUUGUUCAAAGUGAUGGGAGACAAAUUUUUACGGCUGAUCUCUAGGGCGUUAAGCUUUUCGUGUUCUUUGGAAUGGAUUUCUUUACGCUUUGAACAAAAAAAAAAAUUAUUUACGCUUUGAAAGUGAAAUUCAAACGUUACGGGAUGCCAUGAAACAUUGCCAUUAAAGAUCAUCUUAAUUCCUUAUUCAAUGCAUUUGCCCUCUCUUCCAGUCGGUGAAUCUCUACGUAUAAAAAGGACACGGCUCCGGUAGGCGCUGCAAUCGGAUUGCUUGCGGAGACUGAGUCUGAAAUCGAAGAAGCUAAGAACAAAGCCGCUUCCAAAUCUUCAUCUGUCCCUCCUGUCGUUCCAUCUCCUCCUCCGGCUACUUCAUCUCCGGCGCCGGUGAUCUCUCAGUUCCCGGUGUUGUUGUCUUUCUCUUUCUAUGAGAUUCUAAGUUUCCGGUGUUGUUGUCCAGAAUUGCUAACGUUUAUGGAUCUGGCCGGAGUAUUCUGAGCUACAUCCGGCGGCGUUGGGUGGUUCUGGGAACUAACAUGGCUUGAAUCACUUUAACCGCGGUGGUUACGAGUUUCGGCAACUAAUAAGGCUAACUCUCGAGAACGCCGGUGGUUUGACGUCGAUGCUUGAGCUUCCUCCUACACAAGCAGUGGAGAUUCUCCAUUUCACUGAUUCGUCGUCGUAUUCUCAAGGAGACCAUAGCCGGAAUCGGUUUAGAUAUCUCCACUGCUGUUUCUCUCUUACGGGACAUUGACUUUUCCUUCUAACUUAGCCCUCUUGGAACGGGCAGCUCGCUGUUUGGUGAUUGCUAAUGAGCAGCAGCAAAACGGAAGCGUCUCCGGUGAGAUUACUACUACGAGCUCGGAACCUUCUAACUCAGCGUUUGGUUUCUGAUCAUACUAUCAUAGCACGGGUAAGCUUGAGACUGGGCGCACCUUUAAAGCUUGAGUUCGGAGAAAAAUAAAUCAUCUUUGUUUAUGUUAGAAAGAAAAAAACAUGGGUUUCGCUCAUGUUGUUUGUUGACGAAUUCGAGAAUACAGUUGAUGGUUAUGAGCUCUUUGGAAUCUAUUGCAAACUUCUACCAGUACGGCUGUGGAGAUUAUAUAUCACCGUCAUAUUCAAGCCCCUCAAUGUUGCCAAGGUCAUAUGUUUCAGCAUCUGAAAUUCCUGUUAUCUAAUAUAUUAGGAAAUUGGUAUUAACAACUGCACUUCUUUGUAAUUCCUAUUAAAUUGUGCAUGUCAUUUGUUGAACCGCACAUAUGUUAAUAUUAUAUAAAACUUGACCAUUUAGAGGUAUGUGUUGGAAUUAUAUAAAAUUUAACCAUUUACAAGUGUGUGUUGAGAUACUAUGGUUUCUUUUUAUUUCUUCCCUGAUUUUGUUGUUUUCUAGGAUUGUAUAUCACAUUUCCUAAACCUUUUUCUCUGGCCUUUGUUGGAGAAUGGUCCCGGAGGUUAGAUCUUGGCAAGGGUGUGAAGUGGAGAAGAUUUUGAGAGUGUAGAUGCUGUAAGUGACGGAGAUGGAGAGGAUGAGCCAGAUCAUUAGUUUUCCAGCCGGUCAGAUCAUCGAUACACAUACACCCCACGAGUCUUUUGGUUUCCUUUCAUUCAAUCUUUUCUUGAAAAAGAAAGAAAAAAACCUCGAGAAAAUCUCGAGGAAAACAAACCGACAAAAGUUCAUGUGUAUAGCUUUGGAGUUGUUCCGUACGAGAUCAUCAUGGGUCGUAGCACAAUCAAGCCAAUGGAACCUUCGGCUGAAAAUAUUCUUCUGGAAUGGAUUAAACUAUAUGAUGUUGAUAGCAAAAGCUUUAGAAUGAUAGUUGACUCGAGUCUACGAAGUAAGUAUCCUGUUACUAUGGUCAAUAAUAUAACAUUAAUUUUA